AAAUUGAAGAGUUUGAUCAUGGCUCAGAUUGAACGCUGGCGGCAGGCCUAACACAUGCAAGUCGAACGGUAACAGGAAGCAGCUUGCUGUUUCGCUGACGAGUGGCGGACGGGUGAGUAAUGUCUGGGAAACUGCCUGAUGGAGGGGGAUAACUACUGGAAACGGUAGCUAAUACCGCAUAACGUCGCAAGACCAAAGAGGGGGACCUUCGGGCCUCUUGCCAUCGGAUGUGCCCAGAUG
rnacentral:rRNA from 1 species